GGGCAUGAUGUACACAUCAUGGCUGAUACUCUUAGUAAAUAUUUUGAAGUGAGAUGGAAAACUAUAGAAAAGAAAUUACCCAAGAUUGAUGCUCAGGCUUUACCAGCAAAGUCAGGCCCUUGUGAAGAACUGCAAAGUUCUGAAACAUCUCCCAUUAAAAAGAGAAAAAUAACUGAAUAUCAACAUGAAAUUGUGCUAGAGCCUGCUAGGCAGAUAAUGACGGAUGAUGAUAAGCAGAAUCUAGGAAGAGAAUUGGAGUCUUUGUUGGGAGAAAUGCCUGUAAAUAUCA
rnacentral:misc_RNA from 1 species